rnacentral:rRNA from 1 species
GGAAUCUUCCGCAAUGGACGCAAGUCUGACGGAGCAACGCCGCGUGAGUGAUGAAGGUUUUCGGAUCGUAAAGCUCUGUUGCCAGGGAAGAACGCCUAGGAGAGUAACUGCUCUUAGGGUGACGGUACCUGAGAAGAAAGCCCCGGCUAACUACGUGCCAGCAGCCGCGGUAAUACGUAGGGGGCAAGCGUUGUCCGGAAUUAUUGGGCGUAAAGCGCGCGCAGGCGGUGGAUUAAGUUUGGUGUUUAAUCCCGGGGCUCAACCCCGGGUCGCACUGAAAACUGGUUCACUUGAGUGCGGGAGAGGAAAGUGGAAUUCCACGUGUAGCGGUGAAAUGCGUAGAGAUGUGGAGGAACACCAGUGGCGAAGGCGACUUUCUGGACCGUAACUGACGCUGAGGCGCGAAAGCGUGGGGAGCAAA